rnacentral:rRNA from 1 species
GGCGGACGGGUGAGUAACACGUGGGUAACCUGCCUAAAAGACGGGGAUAACACUUGGAAACAGGUGCUAAUACCGUAUAUCUCUAAGGAUCGCAUGAUUCUUAGAUGAAAGAUGGUUCUGCUAUCGCUUUUAGAUGGACCCGCGGCGUAUUAACUAGUUGGUGGGGUAACGGCCUACCAAGGUGAUGAUACGUAGCCGAACUGAGAGGUUGAUCGGCCACAUUGGGACUGAGACACGGCCCAAACUCCUACGGGAGGCAGCAGUAGGGAAUCUUCCACUAUGGACGCAAGUCUGAUGGAACAACUCCGCUUGAGUUGUAGUAGGUCUUCGGAUCGUAAAACUCUGUUGUUAGAGAAGUACACGAGUGAGAGUAACUGUUCAUUCGAUGACGGUAUCUAACCAGCAAGUCACGGCUAACUACGUGCCAGCAGCCGCGGUAAUACGUAGGUGGCAAGCGUUGUCCGGAUUUAUUGGGCGUAAAGGGAACGCAGGCGGUCUUUUAAGUCUGAUGUGAAAGCCUUCGGCUUAACCGGAGUAGUGCAUUGGAAACUGGAAGACUUGAGUGCAGAAGAGGAGAGUGGAACUCCAUGUGUAGCGGUGAAAUGCGU